UACGUAGGGUGCGAGCGUUAAUCGGAAUUACUGGGCGUAAAGGGUGCGCAGGCGGUCUCGUAAGCUGGGUGUGAAAGCCCCGGGCUUAACCUGGGAAUGGCAUUCAGGACUGCGAGGCUUUGAGUGUGGCAGAGGGAGGUGGAAUUCCACGUGUAGCAGUGAAAUGCGUAGAUAUGCGGAGGAACACCGAUGGCGAAGGCAGUCCCCUGGGCCUGCACUGACGCUCAUGCACGAAAGCGUGGGGAGCAAACAGG
rnacentral:rRNA from 1 species